GAUGAAGAACGCAGCGAAAUGCGAUAAGUAGUGUGAAUUGCAGAAUUCAGUGAAUCAUCGAAUCUUUGAACGCACAUUGCGCCCUUUGGUAUUCCUUAGGGCAUGCCUGUUCGAGCGUCAUUUAAACCUUCAAGCUAAGCUUGGUGUUGGGUGACUGUCCGCUUCACUGCGGACUCGCCUCAAAAUUAUUGGCGGCCGGUACAUUGGCUUCGAGCGCAGCAGAAACGCGAACUCGGGCCCGUCGUAUUGGCUCCCAGAAGCUAUCUUCACAAUUUUGACCUCGGAUCAGGUAGGGAUACCCGCUGAACUUAAGCAUAUCAAUAACGGAGGA
rnacentral:misc_RNA from 1 species